CCAUAAUAGACUGAACCUCUGAACCUGGUCUUGUAUCCUGGCUCCAUGAUUAAGAGCAGUGAUGUUCUUGCAGAAGGUCCAAGUUCAGUUCUGUGACAGCUUCCAGGUGAUGAAGAGCAUAUCCAUUCCAGAGGUCCAAUUUCAGCUCCAGGGAAUCCAACAUAAUUUUAUGGCUGCUGUGGACACCUGCACAUUCAUUUCUAUUGUCCAUGUGAUGGGAGAGCGAACUCAACAACGACAUUGAUUAAACUUUGCACUCGAACGACACUGAUCCAAGACUCACUCCGUGGUGCUAAGUGUCCUUGUCCAGGAGAUCCUAACAGCCACCUUUGGCUUCUACAGGCAGGGCACACACAUGUUGCCCUUAA